UGGGGAGUAUUGCACAAUGGGGAAGGACCCUGAUGCAGCAACGCCGCGUGAAGGAAGAAGGUCUUCGGAUUGUAAACUUCUGUCCUCAGGGAAGAUAAUGACGGUACCUGAGGAGGAAGCUCCGGCUAACUACGUGCCAGCAGCCGCGGUAAUACGUAGGGAGCGAGCGUUGUCCGGAUUUACUGGGUGUAAAGGGUGCGUAGGCGGAUCUGCAAGUCAGUAGUGAAAUCCCAGGGCUUAACCCUGGAACUGCUAUUGAAACUGUGGGUCUUGAGUGAGGUAGAGGCAGGCGGAAUUCCCGGUGUAGCGGUGAAAUGCGUAGAGAUCGGGAGGAACACCAGUGGCGAAGGCGGCCUGCUGGGCCUUAACUGACGCUGAGGCACGAAAGCAUGGGUAGCAAACAGGAUUAGAUACC
rnacentral:rRNA from 1 species